rnacentral:tRNA from 1 species
CGGGACGUAGCGCAGCCUGGUAGCGCACUCCGCUGGGGGUGGAGGGGUCGGAGGUUCAAAUCCUCUCGUCCCGACCA